CGAACGAGGUUUAUUCAUGCCGUUGACUCUCGGGUCAACCGAAUAGACUGCAGUGGCGGACGGGUGCGUAACGCGUAAGAACUUACCUUUUGGUGGGGGAUAACAGUGGGAAACUGCUGCUAAUACCCCAUAAUGCUGAGGAGCUAAAAGUGAAAACUGCCAAGAGAGAGGCUUGCGUCUGAUUAGCUAGUUGGUGGGGGUAAAGGCCUCCCAAGGCGACGAUCAGUAGCUGGUCUGAGAGGAUGAUCAGCCACACUGGGACUGAGACACGGCCCAGACUCCUACGGGAGGCAGCAGUGAGGAAUUUUCCGCAAUGGGCGAAAGCCUGACGGAGCAAUACCGCGUGAAGGAAGAAGGUCCGUGGAUCGUAAACUUCUUUUCUCAAGGAAGAAUCAAUGACGGUACUUGAGGAAUAAGCACCGGCUAACUCUGUGCCAGCAGCCGCGGUAAUACAGAGGGUGCAAGCAUUGUCCGGAAUGAUUGGGCGUAAAGCGUCUGUAGGUGGUUUUUAAAGUCGACUGUCAAAUCCCAGAGCUCAACUUUGGACAGGCAGUCGAGGACUUAGAAGCUAGAGUAUGGUAGGGGUAGAGGGAAUUCCUUGUGGAGC
rnacentral:rRNA from 1 species